rnacentral:tRNA from 1 species
GGCCUGGUAGCUCGGCUGGUGGAGCACUCGCGGUACUAAGGCGAAGAUGGCAACCAUGCGUGGGUUCGAAUCACGCCGGGGCCA